AAAAGACUCAGGAGGCUGAGUAGUAUAAUGGAAAAAAAUUCAAUUACAAGAGUAAUACGUGAAGAUGUAGUUAUAAGAAAUGAUGCCCAUGCACAGGAAACAAAGACUUGGGAAGAAGACAUUCUUGGAUUUGAACUCAGGUGAGCAAGUUCCCCUCCCUGAGCGGCAGGUGCAGCAUCUGUGAGCUGAAGGUGCCUAUGCCCAUGGUAUUGCUGGGAGGAAUAGAUGCGAAACGCAGAAUUCAUCACGUUUUCCCCUCUCUCAUCUCUUCAGGAUGAAAGGGCUGACCCAGAAAGACAUUCCCCAAGCUGUCUUUCAGCUCUGUUGUUCUGUAGUUUUUAUCCUCCUACAAACCAGGAGCUGAGAGCACCAAGCCCUGUGUUUGAAGAAGAGUACUUUCCAGACAUGAGGAAGCCCCUGAAGGAUCUUGGGCAAGAGAGUGACGUGAUCAAUCAUAGCUUUUAGAAGAGGGGCGGCCUGGAGGGAUGGGCUCUGCUGUGGAGAGGAGGGCAUGCUCCAUGUGCACGAGGUGGUUGAAGCCACGAGAGUGAAUGAGACCACCCAGGAGGGGACAGGGUGUGAAGCGAAGAGGGAGCCUGAGGGGACAGCAGCCUGGAGCGGAUGAUCCAGAAAGACAGAAAGAAAGUUAAAAUUACCUACGACCCCAUUUCCCGGAGAAAGACAUGGUUAAUAUUUUGCUGUGUAUUCCAGUGUGUUUUCAUCGAUGGGCACACGUGUUCGCCUACACACACUUUUUGUGAAAUAAAAACUGGAACACAC
rnacentral:lncRNA from 1 species